ensembl:lncRNA
CUAAACGAAAACAAGUUCCAACUUUUACAACACGGUAAAAACCAAGAUACAAAUUACUUGUAUUUAUAGAUGUGACCAUGCAAGGUGACAACGGGCAGCUUUUGAAAGAUGACAAAAAUGCUUGCCGAAGUGCUGGUGGUUGUCAAUGAACUGUCAAGGGAUGUGCAGUUCAUCAAGGGUGAAUUGGCAGAGGCUAGAAUGACCCCAUCUUGUGGACCAGGGCCAGCCACAAGCCAAGAGAUGUUCCCCAUCCAGCUGCCUAUCACCAACGAAGAUGACUUCAAUGAGGCCAAAAACGUUGUUGGGAACUAAGCCAGUCCGACAAAAGAUGAUUGCCCGCUUGGCCUUGGUGGGAGGCACUAGCUCCACAUGUAUGGUAAGGAGGAUGCUUGCAACGGUUUUGACCAACGGCCUGGCCUGCAAGUUCAAUUGUGCAGGAAAAACCUGCACACAAAGGGAUGCCAAGCAGCCCUUCAAAGACACAGCCCUGCAAGACUGCAUGUUUGUUGCUUCUCGGCAGUGUGACCGCAAACUCACACAGCAGGCCUUCAGCGACAUUGUAAAAAAUUGGCUACGUUACGCCCCUUGGCGUGCAGGAGGCAUCAAGAAAAAGUAGAUUGUCCUCUUCAUAUGGGCUAUGGCCCUUGUUGG